CACGUAGGGGGCGAGCGUUGUCCGGAAUUAUUGGGCGUAAAGAGCUCGUAGGCGGUCUGUCACGUCUGCUGUGAAAACUCGGGGCUUAACCCCGGGCCUGCAGUGGGUACGGGCAGACUAGAGUGCGGUAGGGGAGACUGGAAUUCCUGGUGUAGCGGUGAAAUGCGCAGAUAUCAGGAGGAACACCGGUGGCGAAGGCGGGUCUCUGGGCCGUAACUGACGCUGAGGAGCGAAAGCGUGGGGAGCGAACAGG
rnacentral:rRNA from 1 species